rnacentral:rRNA from 1 species
UACAGAGGAGCCAAGCGUUGUCCGGAUUGACUGGGCGUAAAGCGCACGCAGGCGGACGCGUCGCGUGGGGUGUGAAAUCUGGCCGCGUUAACGGCCAGGCGCCAUCCCAUACGGCGCGUCGGAGUGAUGCAGAGGUCGGAUGGAAUUGCCGGUGUAGUGGUGAAAUGCGUAGAGAUGGGGGAGAACACUCGUGGCGAAGGCGGCCAGCUAGACCAGUUCUGACACUGAGGCGCGAACGAGCGUGGGGGAGCAAACAGG